rnacentral:tRNA from 1 species
GCGCCGGUAGUACAGUGGUUAGUAUUCCUCGUUGCCAACGAGGGGACCCGAGUUCGACCCUCGGCUGGCGCA